UCCGCUGGAUCAGUGGCGAACGGGUGAGUAACACGUGGGCAACCUGCCCCUGACUUCGGGAUAACUCCUCGAAAGAGGAGCUAAUACCGGAUACGAACUCCUUGGGCAUCCUUGGAGUUGGAAAGUUUUUCGGUCAGGGAUGGGCCCGCGGCCUAUCAGCUUGUUGGUGAGGUAAUGGCUCACCAAGGCGACGACGGGUAGCCGGCCUGAGAGGGCGACCGGCCACACUGGGACUGAGACACGGCCCAGACUCC
rnacentral:rRNA from 1 species